UCAGGAUGAACGCUGGCGGCGUGCCUAAUACAUGCAAGUCGAGCGAACGGACGAGAAGCUUGCUUCUCUGAUGUUAGCGGCGGACGGGUGAGUAACACGUGGAUAACCUACCUAUAAGACUGGGAUAACUUCGGGAAACCGGAGCUAAUACCGGAUAAUAUUUUGAACCGCAUGGUUCAAAAGUGAAAGACGGUCUUGCUGUCACUUAUAGAUGGAUCCGCGCUGCAUUAGCUAGUUGGUAAGGUAACGGCUUACCAAGGCAACGAUGCAUAGCCGACCUGAGAGGGUGAUCGGCCACACUGGAACUGAGACACGGUCCAGACUCCUACGGGAGGCAGCAGUAGGGAAUCUUCCGCAAUGGGCGAAAGCCUGACGGAGCAACGCCGCGUGAGUGAUGAAGGUCUUCGGAUCGUAAAACUCUGUUAUUAGGGAAGAACAUAUGUGUAAGUAACUGUGCACAUCUUGACGGUACCUAAUCAGAAAGCCACGGCUAACUACGUGCCAGCAGCCGCGGUAAUACGUAGGUGGCAAGCGUUAUCCGGAAUUAUUGGGCGUAAAGCGCGCGUAGGCGGUUUUUUAAGUCUGAUGUGAAAGCCCACGGCUCAACCGUGGAGGGUCAUUGGAAACUGGAAAACUUGAGUGCAGAAGAGGAAAGUGGAAUUCCAUGUGUAGCGGUGAAAUGCGCAGAGAUAUGGAGGAACACCAGUGGCGAAGGCGACUUUCUGGUCUGUAACUGACGCUGAUGUGCGAAAGCGUGGGGAUCAAACAGGAUUAGAUACCCUGGUAGUCCACGCCGUAAACGAUGAGUGCUAAGUGUUAGGGGGUUUCCGCCCCUUAGUGCUGCAGCUAACGCAUUAAGCACUCCGCCUGGGGAGUACGACCGCAAGGUUGAAACUCAAAGGAAUUGACGGGGACCCGCACAAGCGGUGGAGCAUGUGGUUUAAUUCGAAGCAACGCGAAGAACCUUACCAAAUCUUGACAUCCUUUGACAACUCUAGAGAUAGAGCCUUCCCCUUCGGGGGACAAAGUGACAGGUGGUGCAUGGUUGUCGUCAGCUCGUGUCGUGAGAUGUUGGGUUAAGUCCCGCAACGAGCGCAACCCUUAAGCUUAGUUGCCAUCAUUAAGUUGGGCACUCUAAGUUGACUGCCGGUGACAAACCGGAGGAAGGUGGGGAUGACGUCAAAUCAUCAUGCCCCUUAUGAUUUGGGCUACACACGUGCUACAAUGGACAAUACAAAGGGCAGCGAAACCGCGAGGUCAAGCAAAUCCCAUAAAGUUGUUCUCAGUUCGGAUUGUAGUCUGCAACUCGACUACAUGAAGCUGGAAUCGCUAGUAAUCGUAGAUCAGCAUGCUACGGUGAAUACGUUCCCGGGUCUUGUACACACCGCCCGUCACACCACGAGAGUUUGUAACACCCGAAGCCGGUGGAGUAACCUUUUAGGAGCUAGCCGUCGAAG
rnacentral:rRNA from 1 species